GAACCUGUAGCAUACAAGUUUUUCACCCAAGCAUGUAUAUUGUAUGAAGAAUAAAUUCGUGACUCUGCAACGGAUGUACACGUUUGGUGUCGGGAAAGGGGAUACUUUGACCCACAAGGCCAUAUUAUGGUAGUAUCAUGCAAAACUCUUGAAGAAGCCUGAGCAGUGCUGAACUUUUAUGCCUGUUCACAUCUGUUCUAGGUUGAGGAUCAAGGAUGGUGAGAGAGUAUUACUCUGUUUGAAGCAUGCCUUAAGAAUCGUAAACGCUGCUCAACAAAUAGCAAAUGGGACAAGAGGUAGCAGCGUCAUCCUCUUUAUCCUCUUUAUCGGGGUUAUGUUUUUAGUUCUUGAAUCUUUUCUUUAUAUUGUAAGUAAUAUAUUAUUAUUAAAAAUAUCAUGUGCAUUGCCUACUUUUAGGAAUGUCAUUAGUGUA